CUGCUGCCUCCCGUAGGAGUUUGGACCGUGUCUCAGUUCCAAUGUGGGGGACCUUCCUCUCAGAACCCCUAUCCAUCGAUGCCUUGGUGGGCCGUUACCCCGCCAACAAGCUAAUGGAACGCAUCCCCAUCGAUGACCGAAAUUCUUUAAUAGUUCUACCAUGCGGAAGAACUAUGCCAUCGGGUAUUAAUCUUUCUUUCGAAAGGCUAUCCCCGAGUCAUCGGCAGGUUGGAUACGUGUUACUCACCGUGCGCCGGUCGCCA
rnacentral:rRNA from 1 species